rnacentral:rRNA from 1 species
UACAGAGGUCUCAAGCGUUGUUCGGAUUCAUUGGGCGUAAAGAGCGUGUAGGCGGCUAGAUAGGUCCGUUGUGAAAACUCGAGGCUCAACCUCGAGACGUCGAUGGAAACCAUCUGGCUAGAGUCCGGAAGAGGAGAGUGGAAUUCCUGGUGUAGCGGUGAAAUGCGCAGAUAUCAGGAAGAACACCCGUGGCGAAGGCGGCUCUCUGGUACGUGACUGACGCUGAGACGCGAAAGCGUGGGGAGCAAACAGG